rnacentral:rRNA from 1 species
CCUACGGGAGGCAGCAGUGAGGAAUAUUGGUCAAUGGACGAGAGUCUGAACCAGCCAAGUAGCGUGAAGGAUGACUGCCCUAUGGGUUGUAAACUUCUUUUAUAUGGGAAUAAAACAGACUAUGCAUACCCUCUUGUAUGUACCAUAUGAAUAAGGAUCGGCUAACUCCGUGCCAGCAGCCGCGGUAAUACGGAGGAUCCGAGCGUUAUCCGGAUUUAUUGGGUUUAAAGGGAGCGUAGGUGGAUUGUUAAGUCAGUUGUGAAAGUUUGAGGCUCAACCGUAAAAUUGCAGUUGAAACUGGCAGUCUUGAGUACAGUAGAGGUGGGCGGAAUUCGUGGUGUAGCGGUGAAAUGCUUAGAUAUCACGAAGAACUCCGAUUGCGAAGGCAGAUCACUGGACUGCAACUGACACUGAGGCUCGAAAGUGUGGGUAGCAAACAGGAUUAGAUACCCCUGUAGUC